rnacentral:rRNA from 1 species
GAUGAACGCUGGCGGCGUGCCUAAUACAUGCAAGUCGAGCGAACAGACGAGGAGCUUUCUCCCCUGCUGUUAGCGGCGGACGGGUGAGUAACACGUGGAUAACCUACUUAUAAGACUGGGAUAACUACGGGGAACCGGUGCUAAUACCGGCUAACAUGUCCUACCGCAUGGUUCAACAGUGAUAGACGGUCUUGCUGUCACAUUUAGAUGGAUCCGCGCCGCAUUAGCUAGUUGGUAAGGUAACGGCUUACCAAGGCAACGAUGCGUAGCCGACCUGAGAGGAUGAUCAGCCACACUGGAACUGAGACACGGUCCAGACUCCUACGGGAGGCAGCAGUGGGGAAUAUUCGACAAUGGGCGAAAGCCUAACGGAGCAACGCCGCGUGAGUGAAGAAGGUCUUCGGAUCGUAAAGCUCUUUUGUUGGGAAAGAAAAACAGUGUAUGUAACUAUGCACGUCUUGACGGUACCUAAUCAGAAAGCCACGGCUAACUUCGUG